GCGUGAAACCCACAACAGGAGACUAUCUCCAGCAAAGAUGGCUGACAGAAAUACCGGGACGGAAGCAAAUGGACUCCUGAAACAACCAGCAAACCAGACUGACGUCUUGUGAAACAGUAGAUGUUAAUAAUCUAGCUAGCUAAAGCAUUUACUGCAAAUUGAAUGUACCGUUUUGUAAGCUUGCCUUGCUGAUAUUUACAAUGCAGAUGAAGUAUCGUAGCUAGCUAUUUUCUUGCUUCUUGUGCAGUGCAGAAUAAAAAUAUCUGUAUGCCUAUAUAUGUGUAGCCGAUCUGUGUAUGAAGCCUAAAACGUUUGGUAUACAAAUUUGUUCAGAACCUAGCUAUGAACCUCAGCUAUCAUAGCCUGUUGUAUCUUCAAAACAGUCUGAAUGACAUUAAUGGACCCUAUGGAUUGAGUAGAAUAUAAUAUAACAUUGUGCAAAGGUUGCAAGUCGUAUAUACAUGUAGUUAUUGAAAUCCCACAUUGUAGCCUGUACAUUUAAUAUAUUCACUGAUCAUGUACUCCACUCACUCGCAAAUAAAAGGCGCAGUAUGAAUGUC